GAUGAACGCUCGCUACAGGCUUAACACAUGCAAGUCGAGGGGAAACGGCAUUAAGUGCUUGCACUUUUUGGACGUCGACCGGCGCACGGGUGAGUAACGCGUAUCCAACCUUCCCAUGACUAAGGGAUAACCUGCCGAAAGGCAGACUAAUACCUUAUGGUCUUCACUGACGGCAUCAGAUGUGAAGUAAGGAUUUAUCGGUUAUGGAUGGGGAUGCGUCUGAUUAGCUUGUUGGCGGGGUAACGGCCCACCAAGGCAACGAUCAGUAGGGGUUCUGAGAGGAAGGUCCCCCACAUUGGAACUGAGACACGGUCCAAACUCCUACGGGAGGCAGCAGUGAGGAAUAUUGGUCAAUGGGCGAGAGCCUGAACCAGCCAAGUAGCGUGCAGGAUGACGGCCCUAUGGGUUGUAAACUGCUUUUGUAUGGGGAUAAAGUCAAUCACGUGUGAUUGUUUGCAGGUACCAUACGAAUAAGGACCGGCUAAUUCCGUG
rnacentral:rRNA from 1 species